AGUAAUGUAUAGGAACUUGCCUAGUAGUGGGGGAUAACGUGUGGAAACGCACGCUAAUACCGCAUACGCUCUACGGAGGAAAGCGGGGGAUCUUCGGACCUCGUGCUACUAGAUGGGCCUAUAUCAGAUUAGCUAGUUGGUAAGGUAAUGGCUUACCAAGGCACGAUCUGUAGCUGGUUUGAGAGAAUGAUCAGCCACACUGGGACUGAGACACGGCCCAG
rnacentral:rRNA from 1 species